CUCCAACGGGCUCCUGGCCACGCCCCCAGCCCUCGCCAUCCGGGGGAGGUCAUCUGUUCAGAGAGAGGUCAGGGGGAGGUCAUCUGUUCAAAGUGAGAGGUCAUUUGUUCAGAGAGAGGUCAGGGGUCAGGGGGAGGUCAUCUGUUCAGAGAGAGGUCA